AUUGAACGCUGGCGGCAUGCCUUACACAUGCAAGUCGAACGGCAGCACGGGUGCUUGCACCUGGUGGCGAGUGGCGAACGGGUGAGUAAUACAUCGGAGCAUGUCCUGUAGUGGGGGAUAGCCCGGCGAAAGCCGGAUUAAUACCGCAUACGAUCUACGGAUGAAAGCGGGGGACCUUCGGGCCUCGCGCUAUAGGGUUGGCCGAUGGCUGAUUAGCUAGUUGGUGGGGUAAAGGCCUACCAAGGCGACGAUCAGUAGCUGGUCUGAGAGGACGACCAGCCACACUGGGACUGAGACACGGCCCAGACUCCUACGGGAGGCAGCAGUGGGGAAUUUUGGACAAUGGGCGAAAGCCUGAUCCAGCAAUGCCGCGUGUGUGAAGAAGGCCUUCGGGUUGUAAAGCACUUUUGUCCGGAAAGAAAUCCUUGGCCCUAAUACGGUCGGGGGAUGACGGUACCGGAAAAAUAAGCACCGGCUAACUACGUG
rnacentral:rRNA from 1 species